AUGCCGGCGCGGAGGCUGCUCUCCGCCACCGUCAGGGCCAUGGCGCCGGCCAGCCCCAACAAAGGAGGUGUAUGUGCAGGACAAGGUGUACAAGGACGUGAUCGACCCCGCCGUCCGCGAGUGGACCUCAAGACUGAUGUGUACCUUCCUGAGCUUCCAGACGAACAUGCAAGCAGCUCCGCUGCCAAGCCAUCAGCCCAACCAGAUGGAGCUGGCCCUCUUCCAUGA
rnacentral:rRNA from 1 species